rnacentral:rRNA from 1 species
UACGUAGGGUCCGAGCGUUGUCCGGAAUUAUUGGGCGUAAAGGGCUCGUAGGCGGUUUGUCACGUCGGGAGUGAAAACUCAGGGCUCAACCCUGAGCGUGCUUCCGAUACGGGCAGACUAGGGGUAUGCAGGGGAGAACGGAAUUCCUGGUGUAGCGGUGGAAUGCGCAGAUAUCAGGAGGAACACCGGUGGCGAAGGCGGUUCUCUGGGCAUUACCUGACGCUGAGGAGCGAAAGCAUGGGGAGCGAACAGG